AUGGCUCACACUGGUCCAGCGGGAACCCUCGCGAUGCUCCUCCUCGCCCCCUCCGCCGCCGGCCAGACGUGGGCGCCCCGCCCAGCCGCCCCGCCGCUCCGGCGCCGCCUCCUCGCGGCGCGGCGCGGUCGCGUGUGCGUGCCCCGGUGCACCGGCGCCGCCCCUCCCCCGCGCCCCGGCGCUACGACACACAGCCCAGCUCGCAGCAAGUGCUCGCCGUUGCUUGAGAGUGCUCUGUUGUCGCCUGCUGGAAACGAACCGGCUGCGGAUGAAUGGAAGGCGGUUCCUGAUAUUUGGAGGACAGCAGCAGAAAAGUACCCUGACAGUGUAGCUCUGGUGGACCCUUACCAUGAUCCUCCGUCCGAGCUGACUUAUAAGCAGCUUGAACAACAAAUAUUGGAUUUCUCUCAUGGUCUGAGGGCCGUGGGUGUUGCUCCAGAUGAAAAGGUAGCCCUUUUUGCUGACAACUCAUGUCGGUGGCUAGUUGCAGAUCAAGGGAUCAUGGCUACUGGUGCUAUCAAUGUUGUUAGAGGAACAAAAUCUUCCGAUGAAGAACUGUUCCAAAUAUACAGCCACUCAGAAAGUAUUGCACUUGUUGUGGACAGUCCUCAAUUCUUUAACCGGCUUGCAGAAACUUUCAUUUCAAGGAUUAAUGCAAGAUUUAUUGUGCUACUUUGGGGUGAUAAAUCAUCCCUAAAUAGUAAAGCUGUGAUGGACAUACCUGUUUAUGACUACAAUGAUAUCACUGAACUUGGACGAGAAAAUCGCAAUGCAUUGUGCUACUCAAGUGAGCAAGGUCGGCAAGGUGUCUUCGAAGCUAUUACUCCAGAAGAUGUUGCGACUCUAAUAUAUACCAGUGGAACAAGCGGCGCACCAAAAGGCGUGAUGCUUACCCACCGAAAUCUCUUGCAUCAGAUAAAUAACAUGUGGGAGAUUGUUCCAGCAGUACCUGGUGAUAGGUUCCUAAGCAUGCUUCCACCCUGGCAUGCAUAUGAGCGUUCUGCCGAGUAUUUCAUCCUCACUCAUGGAACUCAACAAAUUUACAGUAGUGUGAAAUACCUGAAGGCAGAUUUGCAGAAGUACCAACCUCAUUAUGUUUUCUCUGUACCACUGGUCUAUGAAACUCUGUACAGUUCAAUUCAGAGGCAGAUAUCUUCCAGUUCUCCUGCUCGAAAAACUGUUGCCCUUGCACUUAUCAAGAUAAGUUUGCUAUAUAUGGAGGCAAAGAAGAUAUUCGAGGGAACAGUCUUAUCAAAGAAUCCUGUCAAGCCAUCGUCCAUUUCCUACAUGUUCAAUUGUCUAUGGGCAAGAAUUGUUGCUGCUCUUUUGUGGCCCUUGCAUAAUCUGGCAAACAUGUUAGUCUACAAGAAAAUCCAUUCUACAAUCGGAAUUUCGAAGGCUGCUAUAAGUGGUGGUGGAAGCCUCCCGAUGCAUGUGGACAAGUUUUUUGAGGCCAUUGGUAUCAAAGUGCAAAAUGGCUAUGGUCUAACAGAGACUUCCCCUGCUGUAGCUGCUAGGCGUCCAUUCUGUAAUGUUCUUGGCACAGUUGGCCACCCAAUAAAGCAUACAGAAAUCAAGAUUGUGGACAUAGAGACCGGUGAGGUGCUCCCAGAUGGUUCAAAGGGGAUUGUGAAGAUUAAAGGACCACCAGUAAUGAAGGGAUAUUAUAAGAAUCCAUCUGCUACAAAUAAUGCUUUGGAUCAAGAAGGUUGGUUCAACACUGGAGAUAUAGGCUGGAUUGCACCUCACCAUGCCACAGGGCCUAGUCGAAAAUGUGGAGGGAUACUUGUUCUUGAAGGGCGUGCAAAGGAUACGAUAGUUCUCGCUACAGGUGAGAAUGUUGAACCUGCUGAGCUUGAGGAAAUAGCAAGCAGGAGUAGCUUGAUUGAUCAAAUAAUGGUUAUUGGCCAGGAUCGACGACGCCUUGGUGCAAUUGUUGUUCCCAAUAAUAAUGAAGCUCUAGCAGCUGCAAAAAGAAAGUCCAGCCUCGAUGGGAACAAUGACGAAGCCAAAGAUACGGUCAUGAACUUGCUAUAUGAUGAGCUGAGAACUUGGAUGGCGGGUUGCUCAUUCCAGAUUGGCCCUAUUCUUGUUGUUGAAGAACCAUUUACGAUUGAUAAUGGUUUGAUGACACCGACCAUGAAGAUAAGAAGGGACAGAGUGGCAGCCAAAUAUCAGAGUGAAAUUGAAGCCUUGUACGAGUGA
rnacentral:rRNA from 1 species